CAAAACUUUCAACAAAGGAUCUCUUGGCUCUGGCAUCGAUGAAGAACGCAGCGAAAUGCGAUAAGUAAUGUGAAUUGCAGAAUCCAGUGAAUCAUCGAAUCUUUGAACGCACAUUGCGCCCGCCAGCAUUCUGGCGGGCAUGCCUGUUCGAGC
rnacentral:rRNA from 1 species